CUACAAAGUUCACUGGUGACUGAGAAGAAACCACUGGGCGUAUCAAUUAAGACACUGUUAGGGCUCUAUGAGUCAGCAUACAGAUCUCCCAAGUCCAGGACAAGUUACUACAAUCAUCUGAUUCGUGGCCACUAGUAAUCAUGAUAGAAUGCCUGGGUUGGAAUUCUAGGCCUGCCACUUACUAGCUAUGUGACUUGGACAAGUUAACUUUUUUUUUCUGUGCCCCAGUUGGAGAUAAUACCUUUACUGCUUCAUGUGGUUAUGAUGAGGAUCUGAUAAACAUCACAAUAGCACUUACCCAAUAGUACACACACAAUAGCACAUCACAAUAGCACUCACCCACAAUGGAACUUAGAACAAUUAUUGAUAUAUGAUCAGCUCUCAGUAUGUGUAAACUAUGACAUGCAGGCCAAUUCACCUAGAAAGGCCUAUUUUCAAAAGCUCAUGUCCUCUGAAUUGAGGAACCACAGAUCAGAUCAGCCUCUUCAACCCCCCGCGAGGCUCCCAUUCAUGUAAGACACCCAUGGCUUUGUAAUGGCACCCAACGCUCUGGGCUGGCAUGAAAAUUGUGUGACUCACAUCAUGUGCCUCCCCAAGAAGAGUUUCUUAGCAGGCAUUUUGGAGGAAAAGAUUUGGAUCAGAAAUUCAGAAAUUACCUGGGCUCACAAAUAUAUGCCCCUCCAGCACCAUCCUGCAUUCUGCUUCCAAGAUACAUGAGCUUUCUGAAGAGCUGGUGAGAAUGCUGAAACUUCCUGGCCUUGGUUUCCCAUCUGGUAAAAUGAGGAAGACCAAAGCUUAACUCUCACAAGGAAUAUGCAGAUGAGGAAACCGAAGCUCUUGGGGUAACACGACUUGUGAAACUGCAUGCUACUCCUCAGUGGCAGGGUGGGGACUCUGGACAGAGGAACUGGCAAGGUCUUCUAGACCUUUGACGUGCAUAAACUGGCAGGUUUACAGAAUAACGAGGAAAACAAAGUGAAACAAAAGACUGUACCCGUGUGCUAAGAAUUUAUUACCCGCACAUCAAAAAACUUAUCCAUCACGAUCAAGCUGGCUUCAUCCCUGGGAUGCAAAGCUGGCUCAGCAUAUGCAAAUCAAUAAACAUAAUCCGUCACAUAAACAGAACCAAAGACAAAAACCACAUGGUUAUCUCAGUAGAUGCAGAAAAGGCCUUUGAUAAAAUUCAACAUCCCUUCAUGUUAAAAACUCAAUAAACUAGAUAUUGAUGGAACAUAUCUCAAAAUAAAAGAGCUGUUUAUGACAAACCCACAGCCAAUAUCAUAUUGAAUGGGCAAAAGCUGGAAGCAUUCCCUUUGAAUACUAGUACAAGCAGGGAGAAGUCUAAGAGACAAAAUCAAUAAGGCUAGAGAAGAUUGGCUUUCUCUGGAUACUGUACCUUAUCCAUGUGAACAGGAGAUUUUAUAGUGACUUGUUUCAGUAUAAACAAAGAGGACUGGAAUAACUGAUUGCUGAGGACUCCAAUCAUGGCAGCACUGUAUGAUAUGAAUGUAAAAUAAGCAUGACUGACUGCAACAAGAAGGCAGCCUGAAUCUACCUGAAGAAUCCUCAGGCCAUCCGAUUUGAUGAUAUAGUCAGUAGGAUUGUUUGGUUUGCUAGUAACAUAAAUUCAAAGCUUCAGGAAGGAGACUGGGCACAGCGGCUCAUGCCUGUAAUCCCAGCACUUUGGGAGGCCAAGGCGAGUGGAUCAUUUGAGGCCAGCAGUUCUAGACCAGCCUGGCCAAUAUGGUGAAACGCCGUCUCUACUAAAAAUACAAAAAUCAGCUGGGCAUGGUGGCACAUGCUUAUAAUCCCAUCUACUCAGGAGGCUGAGGCAUAAGAAUCGCUUGAACCCAAGAGGUGGAGGUUGCAGUGAGCCAAGAUUGUGCCACUAUACUCCAGCCUGGGUGACAGAGCAAGACUCUGUCUCAAACAAAACAAAACAAAACAAAACAAAACAAAACAAAAACAACAAAACACACACACACAAACACCAAAGCUUCAGGAAAAAAAAGGCAGACUAAAUUAUAUGGCCUGUCACAUGACUCACUGUCAGUGUUCCUUGAAUGAACCAUGAGACACCCCAGACUUGGAAUAAAUGCAAUUGAUCUGGACAUUGAGAAGACAAUAGGCUUUUUCUCUUCAAUAUGCAGAAGACUUCUGUAUUAAUCUGUUCUCAUGCUGCUAAUAAAGACACACCCA
rnacentral:lncRNA from 1 species